GCUUCCAUUAUUAACGUCACUUUGUGAUGGGGCUUGUAACCGAAGUGGGGGCAUCAAAGAUUCGGGAUCUAAAAAAAUCUUAAAGAUUUGGAAACCCUUCGAUAGCAGAAAAUGAAAGGUAAUCGACUUUAUACCUGUUUCAGGCCUCCCCAUUCCUCCUCAAUUAGUCAAAAAAUUUUUUUUGAUAACAGCAACACAAGCAGAAGAAAGAAAAAAACAAACAAACAUCAAACCACGCACUCCCGACCCACUUGCAAAGCCAAAUCCGCUGUUUCUGAAAGAUCCUCCAGAUCAGUGGAGAGGAGGUUGAAGAUUCUAAGAGAAUCAGUUUCCAGACACACCAUAUGCGAAUGCCGAUUUCCGCUGCGAGCCUCAAGCCCUCGACCGCCGCAAAAGCUUCAGCUUCAUCGACCGAUUGCACAUGAUCCAGAAACUUUCUCCAAAUGUGAUCGAAGGUCAAUACUAAUAGCAUUUGAGCGUAGCCAAUUUUGUGCACAAAUAAGUGCCUCAACUGUAGCUGGAGCCAAUGUGGAGCGAAAAGGAUCAAUUCUCUCCCACCAGUACUAAAUCCAGACUCAGAAGCAACAGUAGACACUGAAAUUGCUAAAACAUCUCGUGCAACCUUGCUAAGAACCUUAUAUUUAGAAGAGUUUACUUUCCACCAGUCUAAGAUGUUAAAAGUAUCAUAAUCUUCUGUAUUAUUCUCUGAUAAGUAAUGUUCCACCUCUGAAUCCACAUUAACAUCA